CUUUGCGCGCAAUGGCACGUCCGCCCGCACUUCUCCGCGCACGGCACCGACACAACUUUCUUAACCUUUACAGCCACGCGGCGCGGCGCGUCUCCUGCGCCUGCGGGGCGGGCGCGCACCCACCCGUCCAGGAGGCUGGAGGACCGAGGACCGUCCUGCCCGCGGACCUAUCGCCUCCCGACAGGGCUCCGCUGCGCUCGGGAACACUGGACAGCACUUCAGCACUGUUCUUAGGGGCCGUUUAAACAGCAAAAUCUACAAGAAAAACACAAAAAAAUGCAGAGAUUUGACACUACAUGACCUGUAAAUAGUACACUGUUCCAUGACAGGAGCUGAAACAAGAAGGCAGAGGGCAGCCUUGAUCUCAGCUUUGAACAUGGGCCUCAAGCAGCUCAGACUUCUUGCUUCUCUGUGCUUAUCUUCAAGUAGCCCUGCAGCAAGUGCUGACAUGUGGACUUCAGGUUACAAGUAAAUUCUGAGCUUUUCUGUGACAAUUGUACCUCCCUGGGGUCAAACUACUGUGGCCAACUCAGUCCUACCCUCACGCUUUAACAACCGAUUUCCUGAAAGCACAAAGUUUUGCUUGAGAUGGCUGCUUCUGAAGAGCCCAAGAAAGCCUGUGUGGACAAGGAAGCCGGCAGCAUCUGGCAGCCAUGAGAGCCCUGUAAAGACCCUAGAAUGACAGACGGGCAGCGGUUUCUGGAUAGUACUCCAUCUGCAUUCCUAAUCUGGGGGAGAUUUUCUAAGCGUUUCCAAGUUUCUUCUCUUGUGGAGGGGAUCCUCAGUCAUUUAAAGCCAUGCCUGGGCACACUGUUUUACUCAGGCUUCCUCUAUUAUACAGUAAGAAAAGAUUCUGCACAAGUCAGACUUAUGUGGUUUUGAAAACUGCUAUUGGUCAAGCAAGAAUAGAGAUAGAACAUUGGGAUUACAGAAAGUAGGCUGAGAUGCUGCUUACUGUAGAAUUCACCUUGGAACAGUGCGGAUAUUAGCAACAGCAUCUUAGAACAUUAACUCAGCGACUCACUUAGCUCCAGACUGGUGGAGAUACCACGGGACUGCAGAACCGAGGCUGAGCGGCUGACCUCCCAGCUGAGCAGACAAAGGCUCACUUAGAACCGCAGAGAUGGGGAGGAAGGCCAGCCCAGGGGAGCGCCGCCGUGAAGUCGCUGGGACUCCAGGCGCUCAGCUCACUUCAGAGUAGACCUGGCAGCACAAGAGCAUCAUACGGUUCCCUGGAGCGUGCCUCCAUGGACAGUAAAGUACUCCUGGAAGGCAUCGUGUGGGCUAGCAGGAGCAAAGCUCGGAGUUGAAAGAUUUCCCCGGACUUUCUCUUACACAAGUGUGGAAUCCAGAAAACAUGUUUUCUCUUCAUUGAGCAUAACGAGCGUCUGUUGGUUGCAGAGAAGAUACUGUUGAGCACCAGUUUACUGAUGUGACCUGGAAUCCAGGGUCUAAGGAUGUGCUGUGAAGCAUGGGUGUUGGUUGCAGAAGAAUGGGAGCGGUGGCUUCGUGAAUCCUAACAGGAGGAAAGGUUGGCCGUGAUUGCCGGGAUGUGGGAAGAGCGGCCGGGUGGGCAGACAGAAGAGGCUCGCGGUGCCCCCACCGCUGACCCUCUCUCUGCACGGCCACUCCUGUUCCACGCCGGAACGUCAGACACAGAAUAAACAAAAAGAAGUGACAAGGCAAAGGUGGUCAACAAUGCCCACCCUCAGCUGGUUCCCUGCAGUGCUGGCUCCCUCCGUGCACUCCUCGCGCGCGGGCAUCCCAAGGCAGCUUACAAGAGCAGUCACUCUGGAAGACAAAGAGUUGCUGCAGAAAGAUGGAAGUCACCAUGUUUAUGCUGGACUCCUGAUAUAAGCCAAUUCCGAGAUCUUUGAGGAUAACAGCCUACCAGACAUUUAUGCUCCCUGAGCAUUAAUUAAUGGUUUUUUGCACAGAUAUCUAUUCUGCUCAAUAUGCUUAGAGACUUGAUUUAAUUAUAAAACCCUAACAAACCAAAUUGUGUGUUUUCCACAUGGUGAAGGACCACACACUCACUAAAGCUUUAAGCAGAAUCAGUUUACUGUGGAUUCUAUCCAAUAUUAUGAUGUUCUGUUGUCCAAAAAUACAGUUUUGAAAGAUGAGGUUAGAUUUAUUCGUGCUGUUUGGCUGAGAUUUCAUUAAGUGAGAAGGCUUUCACAGUCUUCUUAGACCAAGCAAAUUUUAUUAGGCCAAACUAUAUUUAGGUAUAUCUAUGGAAUCUCUCCAAUUUAUUCUAUGUUCUAAAAUCUUGGAAGUCUGAAAUUUUGUUUUAUUUUCCCUUUUUAAAAUUCCCUCACCCCCUGUGAUAUUAUUCAAAGUAAAACACAUUUUUGUUUCAUAAGUGACUGAGGACAGUGGAAAUUCAGGAUGUGCUUGGAGUUUUAGUGCAGGCUACAGAAGAAAAGUCCUCCAUGGCCCCUUUCCUAUGCCAAACCACCAUGGGGGGCACCCGAUGAACCCCCUGGAGCUGUGGUGUCUGCAGCCGAGGGAUCCCUUGUCUGGCACCCCAGCCUCUCACCUACACGCUGAGCAGCUGACCUCUUCUUAGAGGACAAACGACAUUCAGAUUUCUGGCAUUCGUGUAUUCAGGGGUUCCUUCCUUCAAUCUCUGACAAACCUUAAUUUAGGGCUGAUUAUUAACAGCCACAGAGCUGAGUGUCGCUGCUCAGACCACAUGCAGCCAGCUCCCAGCGUUCGGUUCACCACACGUUUCUCUUAAGUUCCAAAUGACAGUAUGUUCAGGGCUUCAGCACAGCACAGAAAAUGUCUCCAUCUCCUGUUACUGAUCCCCUGAGCCAUAAACUCCCCAAGAAAAAAAAAUCUUUUUCUAAGGAGACUGGCUUCCUUUCAAGCUUAUGAAAAUCAGCCAGAGGGCUCAGGCUAACUUUAGACAACUAAAAAUAAAGUGAAAACUUGGUUUUAAAAAUUAUUAUUAUAAUUUUUAAAAAAUUUUUUAUUGUUAUGUUAAUCCCCAUACAUUACAUAAUUCGUUUUAGAUGUAGUGUUCCAUGAUUCAUUGUUUGUGCAUAACACCCAGUGCUCCAUGCAGAACGUGCCCUCCUCAAUACCCACCACCAGGCCAACCCAUCCUCCCACCCCCCUCCCCUCCAGAACCCUGUUUGUUUUUCAGAGUCCAUUGUCUCUCAUGGUUCGUCUACCCCUCCGAAUUCCCCCCCUUCAUUCUUCCCCUCCUGCUAUCUUCUUCUUUUUUUUCUUAACAUAUAUUGCAUUAUUUGUUUCAGAGGUACAGAUCUGAGAUUCAACAGUCUUGCACAAUUCACAGUUAUUAUUAUAAUUUUAAAAGCCUUUUUGAGAUAUACUUGUAUAGUGGUACAAAAUCAGAUUUUAAAAAUUUCAUUGUCAUCAUGACAAUAAGUCUGUUUUUGGCUCUGAUCAAAUGAAGAACUUGUGUAAUGAAUGCUUCUUUUUUUCCUCUCUUAAGAACCGAUUAUGUAAAUGCUGUCUGAUUCCACUUACACGAGGCAUGAAGAGCAGCAAAAUCAUAAAGACAGAAGGUGGGACGGAGGUGCCCGGACGGGGGAGGAGGAAGAUUCUUACCAGAACUUAAUUGAGGAUAAUUUGGCCAUUUUAUAAAGUGGAUUUUGUACAGCAUCUCCGUGGCCCUCAGCUCAGCCAUAGCCAUGGGUAGAGUAACUCCAAGGACAGUUCUGUCACUGGAAGCUUCUAGAAGCAGCUCCGUCCUGGUGUUGGUAAGACAUUGCACCCAUUUUACCUAUCCUGUGCCCCCGAGACUCUCAAAGCCAGGAGACUUUCCUUGGAGCAGAAGGUAAGCGUGCAGGGACGGGAGACGCCCUGUCCUGUGCGUGAGGCACUGCUGUCCCCUCAUGCUGCAGACAAGAAAGCCAAACCUUGGGGAAACCAUGUAAACUGACUGUGGCCCAGGGUAGGAAGUGACGUCAUAAGGGUCUGACCCCAGUGUCUGCUCCGCGCCGAACCCUGUGUGCUGCCUACGCUGUGUCUCAGGGACUCGUGUUUCCAGGGUGAGGAUCCGGAGCCGCGGUGUGGCAGACAGACGCAGGGGGUACCCAUCCGCAGUGUACCGAGAUGGAGGAGAGACUCCACCCGUUAUCCUGCAACAGAAAAACGUGUUGAGGAAACAGCUAAGAAAACCCCAAGUCAGAUGUGCAGCAGACAAAAGAGAAGCUGUCUGUUAGUGUGGCAGUGAGCAUGGCCGGAAGCCUACACAGGUGGGGGACAGACGCCCAAACUGAGCACCAGAAGGAGUCAGGGUGUUUGAGCUUCAGGCUGACUCAGCUUCUUGGGGGGCACAGGCAAUCUUCGGGCAUCCCCUCCUCUCUCUGGGCGCAGUGCCGGUCUGGCCUGGUGCCUGUGAGGGUGCUCUGCUGGCCCGCCUCCCUGGCUCUCCCAUCUCCUCAGCCCUCUUCUCAGCAGCACAGGCUCCCCGGUUACCUGCAGACAUCGAGGAGCCUCUGUCUGUGUCCCCAGGGCUCACCGAAGGGCGCCGCUGGGACCCCCACAGAGCCCAGCCUGCAGAGUCGGAAGGAGGAGAAUGCCCUGUGAACUCCUGUCCUUCAGCUUCCUUGCUCCUGGUUCCAGAGGCCUCUCCUGGGCGGGUAGAGCUGCCUUACUGUAUCCCGAGCCCAUCGCUUUACAGAAACCUUUCCAGGUCUGGCCGUUUGGAGGGGAAAUCAGCUGAUUCUUCCCAUGAGGCACGGAGGACCAAAUGGGAGAAGACAGUCGCUCUGUCCAAAGAGGACGAUCAGGAGGUCCGGGCACAGUUCGAUAUUCCGGCCCCUUCGAUCCCGGGGCACUCUUUCUGAGCCCCGAAAGGGCUAAACAGAUGUCAUCGAGCCCUGCCUCAGAAGUGCAAGAGGGGCUGGACCCCCGCCCAGCGUGGACACGUGGCUCCAGGGCUCCUCCUGCACAGCAUGCAGCCUCCCCUUCAGGAGAACCGUGUCUCCAAAGCCGAGCUAUCGUCAAGAGAUGGCCAGACUUCGUUAUGUCCUUACGUGCCUGCUCAUCUGACUUCCAGACCUUUUGUGUUCCUCGGACUGAUCUGGCCCACGUUCGCACUGUGGGUCUGGGGCCCCUUUCCUCUGGAAGCCCCGUGUGGGGGACCCCGGGUACUGUCAAAUCGAGCUCUGUGGGGUUGCCCACAAGCUUGCUUCCUCAGCACUCCCUCAGAAGCUACUACUAUUUGGGUCCUUAUCACCCUUUGCCUGGACUGUCCCCCAAAUGGCAUCAAUAUCUUCCCACUGCUCAGUUCUCUCUAGUUUAUCUGAUAAAAUAUACACAGUACAGCUAUGAUCACGUCAUUCCCUUCUCAAAACAUCACUGACUUCCAAUCCUUUUUAAAUAUAAAUAUAACCUGACUCCAAAGUUGUUCUCAGGGGCUUUAGCCACCUUUUGAACUUAUGUUUUCUCUACUUCCCUUUAACUAUUGUGCACUUCGUUAAACAGAGCUCUUUACAUAGCUACGUACAUCUCCCACAUUUUCCCUCCUUGGGAAGACUCUAUCUAUUCUUCAAAGGCCAGGUCACGUCCUUCCCUCACGAAGCCUUCACUGGCCCUGUCCCGCAUCACCUGGCACUUUCCAUCUUGCAUGCAUGGCACCUGGGGACCGGUCUCUUCGACAUCACGUUGGGUUCCCUGCACCCAGCACAGUGCCUUGUGGGGUUGGCACCUGCAAGCUGGGCUAAAUGGGUUAUUUCUUUUACUUUGGUCUCAUUUACUGUUUUGGGAGAACAAUGGGUCUGCUUAAUUAGUCUAUACUGCUACAUUUUAGAUGUCCAGCUUCCAAGCGGGGGUAUUAAGUCAAUCACUUAUGUCUUGGUGACAGAGCUACGCCUCAGCGGCCUCUCAGCUGAGCAGUAUCCAGCAUCUAAAAGCAGGAACAGAUGCUUAGGCUGGGCUGCCAUGGAGACGAAUGUUCUCUGAUCCUCUCUGUGAAGAAUGACUUCAGGGUUGCUGGUUAUAGAAAUGAAUGUUUUUAGUCAACAGUGCAUCUCAGCCUCCAACAUAAGAAAACCCUAUUUCCAGUGCCAUGCCCGUCUGAAGCACCAAUUAGUUUUGCUUCCAAAAUCAGUUGUGUUGCCACCAAAUUAAAUCGGCUGUGAAAUAAUGGUAUCUGCCAACAUGUGGGCUUUUGGUUAAUUAUUAUCUUUUUAUAAAAGACCUAUGCUUUAAUUGAUACAUUUUCUUUUACUUAAGCCAUUAAUGAUGUGCUAUUCUGGCCUUGUCAUCAGGUAGCUCUGCAAAUAGUGUAUUUUUGGAAUGAUAAUAAAUGGCAUUUGAAAAGUGUUAAUGCCAAUAUCUUCGUUGCCCUAAGAGAGUCAAAAACUAAUUAAAAAAGGAAUGAACACCAUCAUAGAGUCACAUGGGUUGAAGCUGAGUUUGGUAAGGAACUAUGGAAAAUUAAAACUGAGCUUUUGAGUUUUGGCUUUAAUAGAAUUGUUCUUUUGGAGAUGGUGGGUCAACUGGGACGACAGAGAUU